rnacentral:rRNA from 1 species
UACGGGGGGGCAAGCGUUGUUCGGAAUUACUGGGCGUAAAGGGCUCGUAGGCGGCCAACUAAGUCAUACGUGAAAUCCCUCGGCUUAACCGGGGAACUGCGUCUGAUACUGGAUGGCUUGAGUUCGGGAGAGGGAUGCGGAAUUCCAGGUGUAGCGGUGAAAUGCGUAGAUAUCUGGAGGAACACCGGUGGCGAAGGCGGCAUCCUGGACCGAUACUGACGCUGAGACUCGAAAGCGUGGGGAGCAAACAGGG